rnacentral:rRNA from 1 species
AUUGAACGCUGGCGGCAGGCCUAACACAUGCAAGUCGAACGAGUGGCGGACGGGUGAGUAAUGUCUGGGAAACUGCCCGAUGGAGGGGGCUAACUACUGGAAACGGUCGCUAAUACCGCAUACCAUCAGAUGAACCCAUAUGGGAUUAGCUUGUAGGUGAGGUAACGGCUCACCUAGGCGACGAUCUCUAGCUGGUCUGAGAGGAUGAUCAGCCACACUGGGGCUGAGACACGGCCCAGACGCCUACGGGAGGCAGCAGUGGGGAAGAUUGAACAAUGGGCGCAAGCCUGAUGCAGCCAUGCCGCGUGUAUGAAGAAGGCCUUAGGGUUGUAAAGUACUUUCAGCGGGGAGGCGUUACCCGCAGAAGAAGCACCGGCUAACUCCGUGCCAGCAGCCGCGGUAAUAC